CCCUUAGAUGUUCUGGGCAGCACGCGCGCUACAAUGGUCUUCGCAAACGGAUGCAUUCUCGAAGGAGAAUGCCAAUCUUGGAAUCUAUGCCUUGGUCGGGACAGUUGCUUGCAAUUUUUCGACUCGAACCAGGAAUUCCUUGUAAUCGUGAUUCAUCACAUCACGAUGAAUACGUCCCUGCCCUUUGUACACACCGCCCGUCGCUCCUACCGAUUUCGAGUGAUUCGGUGAACCUUUUGGACAGCGUCUGUCCUCGUGUCAGAUGCUGAAAGUCAAGUAAACCAUAUCACUUAGAGGAAGGAGAAGUCGUAACA
rnacentral:rRNA from 1 species